GUAAGGAAUAUUGGGCAAUGGACGCAAGUCUGACCCAGCCAUGCCGCGUGCAGGAUGACAGCCCUACGGGUUGUAAACUGCUUUUAUACGGGAAAAAACCCCCCGACGUGUCGGGGGCUGAUGGUACCGUAAGAAUAAGGAUCGGCUAACUCCGUGCCAGCAGCCGCGGUAAUACGGAGGAUCCAAGCGUUAUCCGGAUUUAUUGGGUUUAAAGGGUGCGCAGGCGGAAUAAUAAGUCAGUGGUGAAAUCUUCCGGCUUAACUGGAAAAUUGCCAUUGAUACUGUUAUUCUUGAGUAUAGUUGAAGUGGGCGGAAUGUGUCAUGUAGCGGUGAAAUGCUUAGAUAUGACACAGAACACCAAUUGCGAAGGCAGCUCACUAAGCUAUAACUGACGCUCAUGCACGAAAGCGUGGGGAUCAAACAGGAUUAGAAACCCCAGUAGUCC
rnacentral:rRNA from 1 species